GAAUGCUGACAUAAGUAACGAUAAAGCGGGUGAAAAGCCCGCUCGCCGGAAGACCAAGGGUUCCUGUCCAACGUUAAUCGGGGCAGGGUGAGUCGACCCCUAAGGCGAGGCCGAAAGGCGUAGUCGAUGGGAAACAGGUUAAUAUUCCUGUACUUGGUGUUACUGCGAAGGGGGGACGGAGAAGGCUAUGUUGGCCGGGCGACGGUUGUCCCGGUUUAAGCGUGUAGGCUGAUUUUCCAGGCAAAUCCGGAAAAUCAAGGCUGAGGCGUGAUGACGAGGCACUACGGUGCUGAAGCAACAAAUGCCCUGCUUCCAGGAAAAGCCUCUAAGCAUCAGGUAACAUCAAAUCGUACCCCAAACCGACACAGGUGGUCAGGUAGAGAAUACCAAGGCGCUUGAGAGAACUCGGGUGAAGGAACUAGGCAAAAUGGUGCCGUAACUUCGGGAGAAGGCACGCUGAUAUGUAGGUGAAGCGACUUGCUCGUGGAGCUGAAAUCAGUCGAAGAUACCAGCUGGCUGCAACUGUUUAUUAAAAACACAGCACUGUGCAAACACGAAAGUGGACGUAUACGGUGUGACGCCUGCCCGGUGCCGGAAGGUUAAUUGAUGGGGUUAGCGGUAACGCGAAGCUCUUGAUCGAAGCCCCGGUAAACGGCGGCCGUAACUAUAACGGUCCUAAGGUAGCGAAAUUCCUUGUCGGGUAAGUUCCGACCUGCACGAAUGGCGUAAUGAUGGCCAGGCUGUCUCCACCCGAGACUCAGUGAAAUUGAACUCGCUGUGAAGAUGCAGUGUACCCGCGGCAAGACGGAAAGACCCCGUGAACCUUUACUAUAGCUUGACACUGAACAUUGAGCCUUGAUGUGUAGGAUAGGUGGGAGGCUUUGAAGUGUGGACGCCAGUCUGCAUGGAGCCGACCUUGAAAUACCACCCUUUAAUGUUUGAUGUUCUAACGUUGGCCCGUUAUCCGGGUUGCGGACAGUGUCUGGUGGGUAGUUUGACUGGGGCGGUCUCCUCCUAAAGAAUAACGGAGGAGCACGAAGGUUGGCUAAUCCUGGUCGGACAUCAGGAGGUUAGUGCAAUGGCAUAAGCCAGCUUGACUGCGAGCGUGACGGCGCGAGCAGGUGCGAAAGCAGGUCAUAGUGAUCCGGUGGUUCUGAAUGGAAGGGCCAUCGCUCAACGGAUAAAAGGUACUCCGGGGAUAACAGGCUGAUACCGCCCAAGAGUUCAUAUCGACGGCGGUGUUUGGCACCUCGAUGUCGGCUCAUCACAUCCUGGGGCUGAAGUAGGUCCCAAGGGUAUGGCUGUUCGCCAUUUAAAGUGGUACGCGAGCUGGGUUUAGAACGUCGUGAGACAGUUCGGUCCCUAUCUGCCGUGGGCGCUGGAGAACUGAGGGGGGCUGCUCCUAGUACGAGAGGACCGGAGUGGACGCAUCACUGGUGUUCGGGUUGUCAUGCCAAUGGCACUGCCCGGUAGCUAAAUGCGGAAGAGAUAAGUGCUGAAAGCAUCUAAGCACGAAACUUGCCCCGAGAUGAGUUCUCCCUGACUCCUUGAGAGUCCUGAAGGAACGUUGAAGACGACGACGUUGAUAGGCCGGGUGUGUAAGCGCAGCGAUGCGUUGAGCUAACCGGUACUAAUGAACCGUGAGGCUUAACCUU
rnacentral:rRNA from 1 species